UACGUAGGCAGCGAGCGUUGUUCGGAGUUACUGGGCGUAAAGGGUGUGUAGGCGGUUGUUUAAGUUUGGUGUGAAAUCUCCCGGCUCAACUGGGAGGGUGCGCCGAAUACUGAAUGACUUCGAGUGCGGGAGAGGAGAGUGGAAUUCCUGGUGUAGCGGUGAAAUGCGCAGAUAUCAGGAAGAACACCAAUGGCGAAGGCAGCUCUCUGGGACGGUACUGACGCUGAGACGCGAAAGCGUGGGGAGCGAACAGG
rnacentral:rRNA from 1 species